AGGUGGCGAUAAGCACAAACUCCCCAGCUUUGCGCGGCACCAGCGUGUAUGGCCACUUCAUCUCACCGUUGGCUGGCACGUCACUGGCAGGGAGAGGCGAGGGAGAGUUCAGGGAGAGGUGAGAGAGAGUUCAGGGAGAGGGUAGGACACCAGUGGGAGGUAAGGGAGAGGUUAGAACACUUGUGAGAGCUCAGGGAGAGGGUAGAAGAGAGAGAGAGAGAGAGAGAGAGAGAGAGAGAGAGAGAGAGAGAGAGAGAGAGAGAGAGAGAGAGAGAGAGAGAGAGAGAG